rnacentral:rRNA from 1 species
AUACGGAGGGUGCAAGCGUUAAUCGGAAUCACUGGGCGUAAUGCGUGCGUAGGCGGCUAUGCAAGUCAGGCGUGAAAGCCCUCGGCUCAACCGAGGAAUUGCGCUUGAAACUGCGUAGCUUGAGUUCAGGAGAGGGUAGCGGAAUUCCCGGUGUAGGAGUGAAAUCCGUAGAUAUCGGGAGGAACACCAGUGGCGAAGGCGGCUACCUGGACUGAUACUGACGCUGAGGUACGAAAGCGUGGGGAGCAAACAGGAUUAGAUACCCUGGUAGUCCACGCUGUAAACGAUGGACGUUAGGUGUCGGGGGCUUGACCCUCGGUGCCGAAGCUAACGCAUUAAGUACCCCGCCUGGGGAGUACGGCCGCAAGGCUAAA